rnacentral:misc_RNA from 1 species
AAUCAGCUGUUUCAUGAUUUGACAUACGUCGCUUGUGUUCAUCGUUCUAGGUUAUAUUUCUUAUUUUAUAAGUUGAUUUUCCGUGUUCACUUUCUACUGAUACAGUGCACAAGCCAAAUCAGCCCGUGAAACGCCUUACAAAGGAUAAUAAUAGGUCAGUCAUGUCGAGUAAGGCCGAAAACGAAACGAGUCAGGUUCUAACCUCAAAACCGUUCAAAACUCUGGAGGAGCUUUAUGCCGGCUUGAGUAAUUUAACGCCCUGGCCCGAGAUCCGAGAUGUGCGAAAAUCGGCGGAUUAUGUUUACUCGGGAAAAGAUAUCAACGAUGUGACAAAACCGUUAGUCAAGUGGAACCGAAACAAGAAACCGAGGACCCUUGUGUGCCACGACAUGAAAGGUGGAUAUCUCGAUGACAGGUUCAUCUUUGGAUCGGACGCCCAUGAUUCGUACGUUUUUUACCACUGGAGCGGAGUGGACAGCUUUGUAUAUUUUAGCCACUACUUAGUGACUAUACCGCCUUAUGGUUGGAUCAACGCAGCACAUACUCACGGUGUCAAAGUCCUCGGAACUGUUAUAACGGAGUGGACAGACGGUGAGAGAAUAUGGAAAGAAAUAUUCAGAUCAGAAGCAGAAAUAAAGAGGUUUGCCGACGCUCUGAUAACUCUUGCCAAAUUUUACAAAUUCGACGGGUGGUUGAUCAAUGUGGAGAAUAAGAUUGACGAAGACGAUAUUGACAAAUUAAUAUUCUUUGUCAAGUACCUUACGAACACUAUUCACACUGCACUCGAAGGUUCGGAAGUUAUUUGGUAUGAUAGCGUUACUGUGAAAGGAGAACUCAAGUGGCAGAACGAGCUGAACGAUUUAAACAAAUGCUUUUUUGAGGUGUGUGACGGCAUAUUUUUAAAUUAUAAUUGGACUGAUACUGGCCUAGCCAGUAGCCGCAAUCAAGCAAUUGCGGGAAAUCGUGUUAGAGACAUUUAUGUAGGACUGGAUGUCUGGGGUCGAGGCUGUCCUGGCGGAGGUGGAUUCCAGUCUGAAUAUGCAUUGCGAAAGAUAAGAGAACACCAUCUGUCUGUGGCUAUAUUCGCACCAGGAUGGACCCACGAAUAUCUCGGCCCAAAAACAUUUAUAGACACAGAGAAUUUGUUUUGGGCCCAACUUUUCCCCUAUCUUUACAUCCACGUACCUUUAUACGAUAAUGAGACAUUUAGAACAUCAUUGUGUUUGGGAGUUGGUUUAACGAAUUAUCGCCUAGGUCAGUCUGCAAAAUAUUCUGAAGAUAAACCCUUCUUCAAUUUGAGUGUCCAGUCUCCUCAAGUAUCAACGCCGUCGCCGCACCUUGAAAUAUUAAACCAGCCAGAAAUAACAGAGCCCAAGGUUGUGACAGAGUCGAAUCUGCUGAAUAAAAAUGAAACCGAGUCUGCGUCAGGGCAGGUUUUAACUACGGAAUCAGAUUUAAAAAAAGUAGUCGAAGACAUUGUGUACGAUACGAAGAGAAGCUGUGUAAAAGUACAUGGCCAAUCCAUUGCUUUUACGAGCACAACUCUUAACUCUGAGCUAAAUUACUUCAAGUAUUGCAGAAGUUGUUCGUUCAAUGGCGGAGGGUGUCUGGAAAUAAUCACGAGUAACCCUCGCCUGUUUCAUAGGCUAUUUCUUAUUCAAGUCACUUCUUCACACGGCAUUCAAGUUAGCAUCGUCUACAGCAUGGAGAAUUGCGCACAAGAUCAAUGCGAGCUGAUGCUCGUUGCAGGGGAUGAUGGGAAUUUAAAGUUGAUAAGUAAAUACCAAACGGAGGAAUUGGACUAUCCUUGGAAAAAAAAUUUGUACAUCACGAAUUUUGAAAGGAUUACAGAGAUUGGAGUAGCAGCAUCAAAGGAAGGACGAAUAACACUCGGAGAAAUUGUUGUCCAGGACAAACAACCUGGUGUGAGAAAAAAAUCGUUGAGAUAAGACAAAAUGUUUGAGUUAGCUACAGAUGGACAGUUUAGCUUAAAACGGUCCUCCUUACAUUUCUCUUCUGGAUGCUUCUGUAGAAAGGCUACCGUGAUAACCAGGACUUGGGAACUUUAAUAUCUGACGUCAACUAUUAGGAAGUUAAA